GUACUUCGGUUACGGAGGAGAUUUUUUUUCUAACAAAUAAACUAAUAAUUAUUAUAAAGGGAACAGAUCCCCGGUGGGGCGAAGACCGAAACCCUAGCCGCCGCCUCCGCCGUCGCCGUCGCCGUCGAAACCCUAGCCGCCGCCUCCUCCCGAUCCGACCGUGUCGCCAUGGCCAUGCGCUCUCUCCUCACCAAGCUGCGGAUCCCGGCGGCCGCUUCCCGCCGGACUCUCCCGCCGUUUCGCUCUUCAUCCACCGCCCCUCAGGCUAAGGGUAAGCUUAGCAGCACUGCUACUGCCCAAGAUGGCACUCCAGUUCCUGGAGAGGGCAGGCGCAUACUUGAACAGAUUAUGGAAGAAGGGGACAAGCGCCAGGGGAAGCUGAUGUGGUAUGAAAUCAUUGGCAACUUCAUCGCGUUCAAUGCUACACUCUAUACUGUCUACCUUCUAUAAUAUGAAUAGGUUCAGGAACAACUUUAUUCAAAUACUGUGAUGCCAUUUGGAGACAUUUCAAUGAUGUUCGUUCCACCAUUUCGAGGAGAAUUCACAAAUCUAUUACUUCAA